rnacentral:rRNA from 1 species
CUCAUGGUUUCACGGUAUUGCAAUGAGAACAAUUUAAAACCCUUAGCGAGAAUCAAGUGGAGGACAAGUCUGGUGCCAGCACCCGCGGUAAUUCCAGCUCCACUAGCGUAUAUUAAAGUUGUUGCAGUUAAAAAGCUCGUAGUUGAACCUCUGUCUGGGGCUAGUUUUGGCUUUGGUCAGGCUAGUUCUAGGCAUCCGCCUACAAGACUUAGAGGGCAUUCAGUUGUUCACUAGGAGGAGUAGGCAUUUUACUUUGAAAAAAUUAGAGUGUUUAAGGCAGGCAAUCGCCCGCAUAUAUUAGCAUGGAAUAAUAGAAUAGGACACUUUUCCAUUUCGUUGGUUAUUGGAAUCGUGUAAUGAUUAAUAGGGACAGUUGUGGGCAUUUGUAUUUAAUUGUCAGAGGUGAAAUUCUUGGAUUUAUUAAAGACAAACUAACGCGAAAGCAUUUGCCAAGGAUGUUUUCAUUAAUCAAGAACGAAAGUUAGGGGAUCAAAGACGAUCAGAUACCGUCCUAGUCUUAACUAUAAACUAUUCCGACUCAAUGUUUGACUGGCUUAUAUAACCAGUUGAGCGUUGUAUGAGAAAUCAAAGUCUUUAGGUUCUGGGGGGAGUAUGGUUGCAAAGCUGAAACUUAAGGAAUUGACGGAAGAGCACAACCAGGAGUGGAUUCUGCGGCUUAAUUUGACUCAACACGGGGAAACUUACCAGGUUAAAACAAUAGUGGGAUUGACAGUUUGAGAGCGCUUUCUUGAUUGGUUGGGUGGUGGUGCAUGGCCGUUCUUAGUUGGUGGAGUGAUUUGUCUGCUUAAUUGCGUUAACGAACGAGACCUUAACCUGCUUACUAGACUGGCGAUCAUCAAUCGUUAGCUCUUCUUAGAGGGACUUUGGUUGUUUUAACUCCAAGGAAGUUUGAGGCAAUAACAGGUCUGUGAUGCCCUUAGAUAUCCUGGGCCGCACGCGUCAUACAAUGACUAGUUCAGAAAGUUUUCUCCUGACCCGAAAGGGGAUGGGUAAUCUUGAUAAUACUAGUCGUGUUAGGGAUCGAUCUUUGCAAUUAUAGAUCUUGAACGAGGAAUUCCUAGUAAGUGCGGUUCAUCAGACCGUACUGAUUACGUCCCUGCUCUUUGUACACACCGCCCGUCGCUUCUACCGAGUGGGUGGUCCGGUGAGAUAAUUGAACUUCGCAGGUAACUGAGAGGAAAGAUUAUCAAACCUAUCCACCU